CCUACGGGUGGCAGCAGUAGGGAAUCUUCCACAAUGGGCGAAAGCCUGAUGGAGCAACGCCGCGUGGGUGAAGAAGGUCUUCGGAUCGUAAAACCCUGUUGUUAGAGAAGAAAGUUCGUGAGAGUAACUGUUCACGUUUCGACGGUAUCUAACCAGAAAGCCACGGCUAACUACGUGACAGCAGCCGCGGUAAUACGUAGGUGGCAAGCGUUAUCCGGAUUUAUUGGGAGUAAAGGGAACGCAGGCGGUCUUUUAAGUCUGAUGUGAAAGCCUUCGGCUUAACCGGAGAAGUGCAUUGGAAACUGGGAGACUUGAGUGGAGAAGAGGAGAGUGGAACUCCAUGUGUAGCGGUGAAAUGCGUAGAUAUAUGGAAGAACACCAGUGGCGAAAGCGGCUCUCUGGGCUGUAACUGACGCUGAGGUUCGAAAGCGUGGGUAGCAAACAGGAUUAGAUACCCCAGUAGUC
rnacentral:rRNA from 1 species